rnacentral:misc_RNA from 1 species
GGAUGAUCGAGGCUGAAUUCCUCCUCGGGCAAGAAUAGCUUCCAGGCAAGCAAGCAUGUAGCCUUAUCGUAGAAAUAGGAGUUUGCUAGCUUGAGUUCAGAGGGGGUGGGGGUGCCACCCAAGAAGAAGGGAUACAUUAGAACCUGAGCGACAACCUUGACGGGGUCUAAAAGCUUCCCAGCCUCAACUGCCUUCCGUGCGAUGAAAUCUGCUAUGUUUGCUCCACAGCUCACACCGAGUAGAACACACCUGGAAGGAUCUGCAUGUGCUGCCAACCACGGCUCCG